AGCCGAUUUGGUCCUAGUCCCAGUUUUAACUCUUUUCAAGAUGCCACAUGCAAGCCUCUUGGCAGACCAGUGAAAUUCCAAGCCUACUCCCUCCUCUCACUCACAAGCACCAGGAGAGAUAGGCCCUUAGCAUCAGGAAGUUAAAUACAACCCACGACGCUAAGCAAGAAGCCACAACUGCAGUGCUAAGCCUUGGACAAUCAGAUACACCUGGAUCCAGUGAAGAAAAGAAGAAGGGGGUAAAAUACGUGCCAGCCACCGCGGUUAUACGUAUACCCUAAAGUUAAACCCAAACGGUCCAAAGGGUGGUUAAAAUAAACUAAACCUUUAAUCAGAGCUUCUAGCGAGUGGUAGAAAACUAACCUAGAAAGAAAUGAUUAAAUCCUAAUUUGACCCCACGAAAACUAAAACCUAAACCAGGAUUAGAUACCCUGCUAUAUUUAGACGUGAACAACCCUAAACACCAGAGAACUACGAACCCACAGUUUAAAACUCAAAGGACUUGGCGGUUUUCCAAACCUCCCUGGAGGAGCUUGCCGUUAAAUCGAUAACCCACGUAAUACCUCACCAACUCUGGUUAUACCAGCCUGUAUACCAUCGUCGAAAGCCUACUUCCCCAGAAAGUUGGCUACCAGAAAUAGACUCCCCACGUCAGAUCAAGGUGCAGCUCAUGAGUUGGGAACAGGUGAGCUACAAUGUCAAAAGAAAUCAGUGAAAGGAGGGCUGAAAAACCCUCCCAAAAUUGGAUUCAGCAGUAAACUUCAGUCAGAGAAUGAAGUUGAAGAGAGCUCUGGAAUGCGUACACAUCGCCCGUCACUCUCGCCUAGCCAAAGCAAGGGGAGAAAAGUCGUAACAUAGUAGGCCUACCGGAAGGUGGGCCUGGCCAAUA
rnacentral:ncRNA from 1 species